ensembl:snoRNA
GAGCUUCCAGGAUCACCUCUGCAGAGUGGCUACUAUUCUGCCAGCUUCGGAAAGGGAGGGGAAGCAAGCAUGGCAGAGGCACCCAUUCCAUUCCCAGCUUGCUUAGUAGCUGGCCAUAGGGAGACACUCUGCAACACUG